UACGUAGGGGGGCAAGCGUUGUCCGGAAUCAUUGGGCGUAAAGAGCGUGUAGGCGGCUCGAUAAGUCUGCUGUGAAAGUCCAGGGCUCAACCCUGGAAGGCCGGUGGAAACUGUCGGGCUAGAGUCCGGAAGAGGCGAGUGGAAUUCCCGGUGUAGCGGUGAAAUGCGCAGAUAUCGGGAGGAACACCUAUGGCGAAGGCAGCUCGCUGGGACGUUACUGACGCUGGAGACGCGAAAGCGUGGGGAGCAAACAGG
rnacentral:rRNA from 1 species